UACGUAGGGCGCAAGCGUUAUCCGGAAUUAUUGGGCGUAAAGAGCUCGUAGGCGGUUUGUCGCGUCUGCCGUGAAAGUCCGGGGCUCAACUCCGGAUCUGCGGUGGGUACGGGCAGACUAGAGUGAUGUAGGGGAGACUGGAAUUCCUGGUGUAGCGGUGAAAUGCGCAGAUAUCAGGAGGAACACCGAUGGCGAAGGCAGGUCUCUGGGCAUUAACUGACGCUGAGGAGCGAAAGCAUGGGGAGCGAAUAGG
rnacentral:rRNA from 1 species